GAGCCACAGCUCAGUGGUAGAGCAUCUGCUUUGCAUGCAGAAGGUCCCGGGUUCAAUCCCUGACAUCUUCA